UUAUCCGGAUUUAUUGGGCGUAAAGCGUGCGUAGGCGGUUUAUUAAGUCUAGAAUUAAAGUCCGAGGCUUAACCUCGGUUCGUUCUAGAUACUGGUUGACUAGAGUACAGUAGAGGCAAAUGGAAUUCCUAGUGUAGCGGUGGAAUGCGUAGAUAUUAGGAGGAACACCAGUGGCGAAGGCGAUUUGCUGGGCUGUAACUGACGCUGAGGUACGAAAGCGUGGGUAGCAAAUAGGAUUAGAUACCCUAGUAGUCCACGCUGUAAACGAUGAGCACUAAGUGUCGGGUUACCGGUGCUGAAGUUAACACAUUAAGUGCUCCGCCUGAGUAGUACGGUCGCAAGACUGAAACUCAAAGGAAUUGACGGGCACCCGCACAAGCGGUGGAGCAUGUUGUUUAA
rnacentral:rRNA from 1 species